rnacentral:lncRNA from 1 species
AUUGUGAAAUAGAGAUGUACAUUUUUAUAAAUAUGAAUCUGUAUUAAAUUAGUGAGAUACUGGAUCUAAUCAAUACUUAUUUUGUUUUAUGUGGAAGAGAUGGAAACAUAAACGCACCCUUAACAAAACCAGCUAACCUGUAAAAGUAUAUUUACUAGAUUAUGAUGGUCCUUAGCUUUAUUUAUAGAGUUGUUUACGAGAAUGGAUCAAUCGAGUCUCGUCAUAUACUUAAACACUAGUUAAUUGGAUGAUGAUACUACUGGGUUAAUGUACUAGUAUUUGAAUUUAACAAGUAUCGACCAGUAGUUAACUUCAUAUCUUGACACUUUUUCUACUUUAAUACUAGUAUGUAAUCUAUUUCUAAACUGCUGUGGGCCUUGAAAAUUCAAGUCGACCAUAAUUUGUCCGUCCACAAUUGCUUACUCCAGAAUUAGAAAUAUGAUGGGAUAACUGCACAGUACAACCCUAGCAACCGUCAAGUAGUAUUGACUGCUGUAUAUUUUUCCUGAAAAUCUGGGAUAGGGUCAUUCAUUUCCAUUUUUUGUUAAUUGCUUUUUUUUGCCCAUUAUUCUGUUUUACAUAAUUAUUAUACGCUUCAUUAUUCUUUAUUGUUUAGAAUCAUUUUGCCUACUAUCACCUUUUUGUUAACCCAGCCUCACUUAUGUAUAUGGUUACAAUGUUGAUUCAUGAACAUCCACCAAAGUAUGUUACUUUUGUACUUAAUUUUAACUUAUCGAUGUUAUUUUUUACUCUUAGAAGAUGCAGCGC